GCCGGAAGGACCGCUGCGCUGACACGGGGGAGACCCGCGCGGCUUUCCACCCCAAAGGGGCCGGUGAGGUGUGGUUCUCUUCCAGGCGGAGAAAACUGUUAUGCCAAGAGAGACUUACUUCCACUUCCUCACUCCUUUACCAGAGUAAACCACUUAAACUUUGCUGGUGAACAGAUCUGUUAUGCAACUUCUGGUGGCUUCCAGAUGACCUCUUGCCACUUACAGAAAUUUGUAAAGACAUCUUAAGAACCCUAGAACUUCAAACUCCAAAGAGUAGGCCAUUAAAUUAUUUUCACUGGCCAAAAAGGUUGAAGAUAGCAGGGGGAACAGGAAAUAAUCGCAAGUUGAGAAACACUGCUUUAGAGCAAGACUGGCUUUCCCCUUCCCAGCUGGCCCAUUCUGCACCCUUUCUGGUUACUUGCCAGAUACUUUUCAGGUCUGCUUUGCUCCCCCACACAACAAGAAAUACUGGUAGCUGGAGCAUCUUCUCCCUUAUGAUCCUAGCAAGGCUCUUGGAGUCAUUGUAGUUCGGAGCACCCUACAAUGGUGGUCAGCAGUCCUUCUAAGCAGCAGGUUUUGCUGCUGCUACUGCCGUCACUACCACCUACAUUUUCCCUAGGAGCGGAGUGGUGCUUUGGAGUAAAAGAAAGUAAACCUGCUUGUUUUGAAGGGGAGCAGAAUCUACAAAAAGAAGCUUGUAACAGGUUCUGUAUUAGGACACAGCUGCAUUAGAAAGUUGAAAGGUUUGCAAGCGGGAGGAAAGGAGCAUACUAUUCUAGGGGCAUUGAAUCCUCAGAAAGCAGAGGAGAUUUUCUAGUUAUAAAUCUGGAGUUGGGCUAAGGACAUAUGAAUAGCCAAAAUUAGUGUGGAUUGGAUCAGAAGCAUUUUACUAACCUUCUGGAACCAUGCAUAAUGGCAUUGUGAAUUUAUACAGAAUCUAGCACAAUGCCUGUGUGAUUCUUAUGGUUGCUAUUGCACACUACCCCUUUUCAGAGAAGGGCAAAUAUGGCAUAUGAAGUUGUGGGAUACACUCAUCCUCUACAGGUAAAACUUCCUUCUGUCUCCUAUCCACUGCUGUUUUUGCAGAAAGAGUGUAAAGCCAGGUCCUUUCUGGGGGUAGAACAAGUUCAUUUUGAGCAAAAUGAACAAGUUCAUGGCUCUGCUGAGGGACACAGCUCAAAUAGCUCUUGGAUUCUUGUACUCCAUUCUAAGCAAAAGUAUAUAGUUAGACUUGAAUGGAUGUUCAGUUGUUAGUAGAGAAUUUUUAUACUGUCACACAAGUCACAUUAGACAUUUUAAAUUGGUGACUGCUAGGUGUUUAGAACACAGAGUAUUAUCCUUCAGCCUUUUAUGUAACAAAUGUGGGCAUUAAGCACUGGUUUUAAAAGUUAAUGUAACUUCUUAAAAGGGGCUUUUCUUUAUAUCUUUAAGGUAUUAAGAGCUCAUUGUAUUACAUAUUAUUUUAAUACAAUUUUAUUUUAAUAUUUCAUGUGUUUUUAUAAUUUAUCUGGUUUUUAUUGUAAGUUGCCCUAAGCUGUCUUGGGGAGGGUAGCAUAUGUAUAUAAUAAAAAAGACUACUUGUUCAAGUAGUCUCUUUGCAGUUGUUGAUAUUCCCUGUGUGAGUAAAGCCAGUCACUUGACUGCGUUUAUUAAAUUCUGUCCUUGUACAUGGACUUGACGUUGGACUCAUUGUGCUGUUAGCGCUUUUGAUUUGCAAGAGUUAGGCCUUGGUACACAUUUAUUUAAUAGCUCAAUGGGAUCCAAUCCCUGAUCCCAACAGUCCUGUCUCCUGCUGUGCCACACAUACAUGGCAGGAUGCAUGAUUUUCAAAUUAGGAACCAGAUCUCAAUUGCAUUAUUAUUACUUGUCAGUGCAGGGGGAGUCUGGGAUCAUAAUGAUGAUCCCAAACUCCUUCUGUACCUACAAGUUGAUUGCCAAGUGCCUGCAGCCUGUCAUGAACUGGAGAGAUCCCAGAACUGGGACUGACCAUUGGCUGAUUGUUGGUUUCAGCCCCAGGAUUGCACUGGAGCCCAUUCAGAACUUCAGUACAGUCCUGGGGCUGGGACUGACAAUCAGUUGUUUGAUGGUCUCAACCCUGGGAUCACACCAGAGCUGGUUUGAGACUCUGAUGCAGUCCUAGACCUGGGACUGACUAUCAGUUGAUGGUGAGUCUCAGCCCUGGGACCACAGCAGAGCCAGUUACCAAUCAACAGAUUUUGCAUUCCAGCCCCUGAACUACACUGGAGCCAGUCCUAGAACCCCAUGCACCAGGAUGUUAGAAAAUCUUGUGUGCAGCCCAACUGCAUGCAUAGAUUUUGAAGGCCCUGGCAUGCUGGUGCCCCAGGGUUCAGGAGAGGUUCCCUGAUCCCUGGGUUCCUAUGCACCAGCAAUGUUAGAAAAUCACAUGUGCAGCUAGGUUGUACACAUGGGUUUUAAAGUUCAGGUUACUGUUUAUGGUGCAAUUAAUAGCUUAAUCACAUCUUAGGCUUAAUGUCUGCCAGGGGACUUAAAAAACAUCUUCAGUUUCUAUUUCUGUAUCUGCUAUGCUAUGUGAAGGUAACCAUUUCUUCAGUCUUCACAUUAAGUUCACUCUGGCGAAUAUGAAAGCACUCUGGAAUUACCUAAAAUUAAUACUUUUGGCUUUUUCAGAACACUUCAGGUGCUGAGUGAUGGGACUAAUUAACAGGUGAUGAGCUGUGCUAAAUAAAAAUUGUUGCUUGAGGAAGUAUUGCAGAGGAAAUACAACUACAGUGGUGGAGAAGGGUGGCAGCACCUGACCCUAAUCACAUGGUAAUUGUUGAGUAGUUGCUGCAGAGUGGUAAACCGAGGCACCAAUCUGAAAGCUUUCUUUUCCUUUUUCUUUUCCUUUUUUCUCUUUUCUUUCUUAUCAGACCAAGCUCCUUCAGCUAGGUCCCUCUCUCAUAGACCCUCCUGUAACUUUUAAGUUAAGAACUGUGCUGGAAUAACUUUAAGACCGUGCUAUAGAGUUAAGAGUUGUACUUUAGAACUAAGAUUGUAGAGUAAUACUGUGUCAGUGUGAAAUCUAAGUGACUGUGUGAAAGAGGCUUUUUGAUAGUGAUCAUUAGUGUGAUAAGGGAAAUGGAGAUGUCUGGUAAAACCCCUUUAGCUGCUCGUUUGAGGCAGGAGAAACCCUGCAGGUUAGAGAGAUGGGUAAUGAAGAAGGGAAAAUAUCCCUGGGAAAAAGUGUGCUUCAAGGGUGAGAAUCCCCUGACUGAGGCAGGUUUGAGUUUUGAACAGUAUUGCACCAAUCUUAAGCCACGUAGUAGUGCAAAAAUUGCAGCUGCUGCCUGGGCAUUGUUUUAUGCAUGUUUGGAAAUGAUCGAAAUGUUAAAGGAGAAGCAGGAAUUGGAGCUUGAAAAAGAACAGUUACAACAGCGUUUGAGAGAUUGUGAGAUUUUAUAGCAGAAAAGCUUAAAAUGGUAACUUUACUUAGAGAUAUACAGGAAGACAGAGACAAGGCAAGCAAGACUUUAGAGUUGUAUAAGAAAGAAUUAGCACACACAAAAGUGUUGUUAGAAGAAGCGAGAGCAGCAACUCGUUUUCUGGCAAAGGAAAACAAGGCAGCAAAGACAGCAGCAAGCCAUCAGAAGUGUGAGGCAGAGAUCAGUAAAUUGCAUGCCCAACUUAGUGCCCAUAAGAGGGUGGUAGCAGCUGUAAGGUUAAAAGAGGAUUGUGACUUUGAGUCCCCUGGGAAAAUAGAGAUACUCCCUGAUGCAGUCCCCAAAAGCCCAUUUAACCCCGAUUGGCACUACGUGCAUAAUGUUGCUCCUGUUACCACAAAGGAGGUUAAAUGCUUAGUUGCAGGAGAAUAUCUUCCCACAGCGGAGAUAGUCACUGACAUAGUGAGAUGGUCUCCCAGUCAAGCCAAGGCUAUUGCUGAGAGACUGGGGCCACUGAACUGAGACACUGCCAUUGUGUGGCUGGCUUGUGUUUGGCAAAUGUACCCCUCUGCUGAUGGCAUAGACUUAACUCAAUUAGUUCAGUUAUGUGCCUCUCCUUGUGAUGCAGAUGCUCUAGGCAUGGGCAUAGGUUCUUGGGAGCGAACUGCUCCUGGACCCCAGGAAUGGAUAAUAAGUGCUCUUAACAUAUUACUGCCUGCUUCUUCCCUUAAGAAAUUGUAUGUAAUGGAAGAGCAGAAGCCAGGAAAAGCCCCAGAAUCUUACCUGAUCUGAAAGAAAAUGCUAGCAGCUCUCUCUGAUUCAUUACCCCAGACAGAAGAGAAUGGAGUUAUCACUCUCCAUUAUCAGGGACCUGAAUUAAUAUGGAGCACCUAUGCAGGGUUAAAUUCCCAGACCAAAAUGACCAUAGGGGUUGUGGAUUUAGAACACAUAACCUGGAAUGAACUAGUGGCAAAAAUCAAACAGACAGGAGAUUUGCUGCGAGAGACUGGUGUUUUAAAGAGACAAGCAGGCAACAAGAUUACAUCAGAGCCUGUGCAGGCUAUCACCUUUGCAAAUAAUGGUCCUCACUCUGCCAGUCAUUCUCCCAAUUCUAAUCCCCCUUUGCCUCACAACCCUGGGCAACGACAACCCAAGGAGACCCUUAGGAGAAUGAUUUGGAAAGAGCUAGUGAAUUUAGGGGAAGAUAUGGGAAAAUAUGAUCGCCAAUUAGUGUCCUGAUUAAUGCUUUGUCUCAAGCCAUGCGGAGAGCAGAGUUAAUGCAGGGAGCACCUCCUCUGCCUGCUGCCCCAGUACAGAGUGCAUCCCAUGUGUUGCGCCAGACCCCUGCCUUCUCUCCUGAGUGGAGGCUCCAGAGGGAGUCUGCUGAUCAGUAGGAGUGCCCGGUUCUCCUCGGGCCUCCCCAACUGGUCACAAGACUUCAGUGUGAUGUAUGGGGGAGACCCACUGUGAGGGCUGCAGUGGGGAACCCAGGGAUGUUAGCCCAAUUGCUAGUGGAUACUGUAUCCUCAGUAAAUAUUCAAAGUCCCUGGUGGAUCUCUGGAGGGAGACCCACCACAAAACAUGUACAGCUCAGCGGAUAUGGGGGAGAAAUCCAGGAAGCUCCUGUCUGGCAGGAUGUUCCCUUGCAAAUUGACAGAUUGCAAGGAAAAGUAGAGUGCUGUGCUCAUGAGGGAAAUGAGAAGGGAAUCCUAGGAGUUCCUUUCCUCCAGGCAUUUCAGCUAACUGUAGAUCUAGCUAAUGGGGUGUUAUGGAAGUUAAAAGGAGGACCUGCAGAAGUCUCUGCUAUGCAUCGUUGUGCUGCCAUAAAGGCACCUACUGCCACCCUAAUCUCCAGUAGUGAUCCAUGGGUACAAGAAUUUCCCAGUGUGUGGACUGGGAAAAGGCGGAGUGUGGAAAAAUAAAUGCUGAAGUUUUGAUUGAAGGAAAAGAUCCCCCUCCUCAAAGACAGUAUAAAUACCCAGCUGCAGCAGGGGAAGGCAUUAAAACGACUAUAAACUGUCUCUUAGAACAAGGAGUGCUUGUGCCUAUGCAAAGUAUUUGCAAUUCACCAGUAUGGCCAGUCCUUAAAGCGGACGGGGUCAUUUAUAGAAUGACAAUAGACUUCCAUGCCUUAAACGCAGCCACCCAUGCCGCUGCUCCUGUGCUAACUAACUACAACGAGAUCUUAGCAGCAGUAGCAGCUGGCUCCAAAUGGUUCUUUGUAAUAGAUUUGGCUAAUGCUUUCAUAGCUAUACCUCUCCAUUUUUCAUGUUGGUAUAAGUUUGCUUUUACCUAUAGGGGACAAUAAUAUGCCUUCAGUCGAACUCCCCAAGGUUUCCAUUCUUCCCCUAGUAUUUGUCACGCCCAUGUCACUAAAAUGUGGAACCGUUUGAGCCCUAAACACCACUCACAUGUAAUUUCAUACGUGGAUGACAUUUUGAUACAUACCCCCACUUCAGAAAUGAACAGAGAAAUCACUAAGGAGUUGCUGACUAUAGUACAGGAAACUGGAUUUAAGGUAAAUAGAGAAAAGGCUCAGUUAGUGCAGCAACAAGUGAAAUACCUGGGUGUAUGUCUUGGAGAGGAUGGCAGGACUCCAGAUCAGCAAAGGGUAAAAACAGUAGGAAGUCUGCCUGCUCCCACAGACACACACACUCUUUGCGAGCUCUUCUGGGAACUUUUAACUUCUCCAGAGAAUUCAUUGAAAUGUUCUCUGACAAAGCUAAGCCUCUGUACAAAUUAUUAAAGAAAAACAGGAUUUGGGAAUGGAGAGCAGACCAACAAACUUCCCUGGCUACCUUAAAACAAGAUUUAGCUUGUGCUCUGGCUCUGGGAUAUCCGGAUCCUGUCCUUCCUUUUGUGAUUCAGUUGGCCUCCUCAGAAACAAGUAUUGGAGCCACUCUUAGUCAAAAGCAAUGUGAUAAACUCUGAGUCACUGCAUGUGCCUCCAGGCUCCUAAAUCAAACAGAGCAAGGCUUCACCCCCUGUGAAAAGGAGUGUCAUGCCCUGGUCUGGAGCGUCACUCAUUGGGAAUUUAUUAUUGGAGGGUCAAAGGUCAUUGUUCAGACUGUGCAUUCCCCGCUAAAGUGCAUCAUAUCAGGGAAAAUACAAGACGGCCAGGUUUCUAACCCACACAUUGCUCAGCGGA